UACGUAGGGGGCAAGCGUUGUCCGGAUUUAUUGGGCGUAAAGAGCUUGUAGGCGGCCUGUCAGGUCUGCUGUGAAAACUCGAGGCUCAACCUCGAGAUGUCGGCGGAAACCGUCUGGCUAGAGUCCGGAAGAGGAGAGUGGAAUUCCUGGUGUAGCGGUGAAAUGCGCAGAUAUCAGGAAGAACACCGAUGGCGAAGGCAGCACUCUGGGACGGUACUGACGCUGAGGAGCGAAAGCGUGGGGAGCGAACAGG
rnacentral:rRNA from 1 species